rnacentral:rRNA from 1 species
AGAGUUUGAUCCUGGCUCAGGAUGAACGCUAGCGGGAGGCCUAACACAUGCAAGUCGAACGGGAUUGAGAGCUUGCUCUCAUGAGAGUGGCGCACGGGUGAGUAACGCGUAUGCAACCUACCUACAACUGAGGGAUAGCCCAUAGAAAUGUGGAUUAAUACCUCAUAGUUCUUUUGAUCCGCAUGGAUUAAAAGAUAAAGCUCCGGCGGUUAUAGAUGGGCAUGCGUGACAUUAGCUAGUUGGUAAGGUAACGGCUUACCAAGGCUACGAUGACUAGGGGUUCUGAGAGGAUGAUCCCCCACACUGGUACUGAGACACGGACCAGACUCCUACGGGAGGCAGCAGUGAGGAAUAUUGGUCAAUGGGCGCAAGCCUGAACCAGCCAUCCCGCGUGCAGGAUGAAGGCCCUAUGGGUCGUAAACUGCUUUUAUACACCAAGAAAAACACCCACGUG